GACGAACGCUGGCGGCGUGCUUAACACAUGCAAGUCGAACGGUGAAGGGGUCUGCUUUUGUGGGCCCUGGAUGAGUGGCGCACGGGUGAGUAACACGUGAGUAACCUGCCCCCUUCUUCUGGAUAACCGCAUGAAAGUGUGGCUAAUACGGGAUAUUCUGGGUCUGUCGCAUGAUGGGUCUGGGAAAGAUUGCGCCUUUGGGUGUUUUUGGUGGGGGAUGGGCUCGCGGCCUAUCAGCUUGUUGGUGGGGUGAUGGCCUACCAAGGCGGUGACGGGUAGCCGGCCUGAGAGGGUGGACGGUCACACUGGGACUGAGACACGGCCCAGACUCGUACGGGAGGCAGCAGUGGGGAAGAUUGCACAAUGGGCGCAAGCCUGAUGCAGCGACGCCGCGUGAGGGAGGGAGGCCUUCGGGUUGUAAACCUCUUUCGCCAGUGAAGCAGGCCUGCUCCUUGUGGGUGGGUUGACGGUAGCUGGAUAAGAAGCGCCGGCUAACUACGUG
rnacentral:rRNA from 1 species